AACGCGAAGAACCUUACCAGGUCUUGACAUCCCUUGCUAAUCCUAGAAAUAGGACGUUCCCUUCGGGGACAAGGUGACAGGUGGUGCAUGGUUGUCGUCAGCUCGUGUCGUGAGAUGUUGGGUUAAGUCCCGCAACGAGCGCAACCCUUAUUAUUAGUUGCCAGCAUUUAGUUGGGCACUCUAGUGAGACUGCCGGUGACAAACCGGAGGAAGGUGGGGAUGACGUCAAAUCAUCAUGCCCCUUAUGACCUGGGCUACACACGUGCUACAAUGGCAUAUACAACGAGUCGCCAACCCGCGAGGGUGCGCUAAUCUCUUAAAGUAUGUCUCAGUUCGGAUUGUAGGCUGCAACUCGCCUACAUGAAGUCGGAAUCGCUAGUAAUCGCGGAUCAGCACGCCGCGGUGAAUACGUUCCCGGGUCUUGUACACACCGA
rnacentral:rRNA from 1 species